GACGAACGCUGGCGGCGUGCUUAACACAUGCAAGUCGAACGCAGUGGCGAACGGGUGAGUAACACGUGAGUAACCUGCCCCCUUCUUUGGGAUAACGCCCGGAAACGGGAGCUAAUACUGGAUAGUGGGGGAUGGGCGCGGGGCCUAUCAGCUUGUUGGUGGGGUGAUGGCGUACCAAGGGUUUGACGGGUCGCCGGCCUGAGAGGGUGACCGGUCACAUUGGGACGGGCAUACGGCCCAGACUGCUGCGGGAGGCAGCAGUGGGGCAUAUUGCACAAUGGGCGAAAGCCUGAUGCAGGGACGCAGCGUGAGGGAUGACGGCCUUCGGGUUGUAAACCUCUUUCGCUCAUGGUCGGGUAGUGGGUAAAGAAGCGCCGGCUAACUACGUGCCAGCAGCCGCGGUAAUUC
rnacentral:rRNA from 1 species